rnacentral:misc_RNA from 1 species
CCGAGUUAUACAACUCAUCAACCCUGUGAACAUACCUAUAACGUUGCCUCGGCGGGAACAGACGGCCCCGUAACACGGGCCGCCCCCGCCAGAGGACCCCCUAACUCUGUUUCUAUAAUGUUUCUUCCGAGUAAACAAGCAAAUAAAUUA